AGAUCUUACUAAAAGACAGCCAAUGCUAUAAGUGCCAAGAAAGUAUAAAUAAACACUGGACCUUAAAGGAUUCCACAGUAUACUAGGAAAAAUGAAGAAAAAAAUAACUCUGUAAGGAGAAGUUAACUAUUUUAAGACUGUUUAACAUCUUUGCACUCAAGCUUUAAGUACAGAAGUAUGUGUGCCUGGGAUUCUGUUUUUGAGAAGGAGGGACAGGAUGAGG